rnacentral:misc_RNA from 1 species
UGAAAAAGAGCCUUUUAAGAUUUUGAAGGAAGAAAGAUUCAAGUUUUGUCCAUUAUGUUCCAAAGUGAAGCAGACAUCUAUAAAAUGUAUAAAUAUAAGACCAAUUAUACACCUUAUGCCUAUUACCCUAGUUUUGUUUACUUACGCCUUUUGUAUUCACUCUCUCUAUCUUGGGGUAGGUGGGGUAAUGCAGUAUGGAAAGAAAGAAUUUAGAUAUUAUUCUCAUUGUAAAAUUAGGA